rnacentral:rRNA from 1 species
UGGGGGAUAUUGCACAAUGGGCGAAAGCCUGAUGCAGCGACGCCGCGUGGGGGAUGAAGGCUUUCGGGUUGUAAACCUCUUUCGCUAUCGAACAAGGCCCGCUUAGGGUGGGUUGAGGGUAGGUGGAGAAGAAGCGCCGGCUAACUACGUGCCAGCAGCCGCGGUAAUACGUAGGGCGCGAGCGUUGUCCGGAAUUAUUGGUCGUAAAGGGCUUGUAGGCGGCUUGUUGCGCCUGCUGUGAAAACGCGGGGCUUAACUUCGCGCGUGAAGUGGGUACGGGCAGGCUUGAGUGUGGUAGGGGGGACUGGAAUUCCAGGUGUAGCGGUGGAAUGCGCAGAUAUCUGGAGGAACACCGAUGGCGAAGGCAGGUCACUGGGCCAUUACUGACGCUGAGGAGCGAAAGCAUGGGUAGCGAACAGG